rnacentral:rRNA from 1 species
UACGUAGGGUGCAAGCGUUAUCCGGAAUUAUUGGGCGUAAGAGCUCGUAGGCGGUUUGUCGCGUCUGCUGUGAAAACCCGAGGCUCAACCUCGGGCCUGCAGUGGGUACGGGCAAACUAGAGUGCGGUAGGGGAGAUUGGAAUUCCUGGUGUAGCGGUGGAAUGCGCAGAUAUCAGGAGGAACACCGAUGGCGAAGGCAGAUCUCUGGGCCGUAACUGACGCUGAGGAGCGAAAGCAUGGGGAGCGAACAGG